AGCAGCUUAAGAGAGGAUCAUCUACAGACAUCGAUAAUUUCCUUAGAUUUGACAGCACCUAGAGGUUUGAAAUAGAAAUGGCUUCCAAGCUCAUCAUUGCUGCAUUUCUUCUGGUCGUUCUUGUGGCCGCAACCAGUGGCAGUGCCCCUAGUGGUACGUCGAUCGACGUUGAGGAGGAAGCAAUGUGCACAUAUUAUGGCAUAACAUGUGACUGUAACAAGAACGCCAUAUGCCUCGACCCAGAUGCUUUUGCUCGAGGAUAGAGUCAGAGAGACAUGGAACAACGAAAAGAGCUGACAGGCCGACGUGAUUAAGGGCCACUAUCUCCUCUGGUUCGAUCAUUUUGGGAAUACGUCUAAAUAAUCUAGACUACACCUCUUUAACAUUAAUUAUUCAGUAAUAAAUCAAGAAAUUGAUUCAUCAGUUUAGGAAGCGUAUUGUUAAAAGCCAGAAGAAGAAAUUACUAUCAUGUGUAAUACUCGAAACAUUAAAUGACGCACCUCACAAAA